ACUCCUACGGGAGGCAGCAGUGGGGAAUAUUGGACAAUGGGCGAAAGCCUGAUCCAGCAAUGCCGCGUGAGUGAUGAAGGCCCUAGGGUUGUAAAGCUCUUUUACCCGGGAAGAUAAUGACUGUACCGGGAGAAUAAGCCCCGGCUAACUCCGUGCCAGCAGCCGCGGUAAU
rnacentral:rRNA from 1 species